GUUUGCUGCUUUCUCCCACGGUGUCCCCCAGUUGCAAGAAUCACAGGAGACCUCAAAGGAUGAUCGCAGCUGCUUACAGCAAUGAGGUCUUCAGCUCAAGAGGCACUAUACCUGAAGAACUUCAUCUGACAUGAAUCUGAUAUAGAUCAUGAGAUUCUGGGCCUUGAGCCUGAGCCUAACUCUGUAAUGAAAGAAGAUUUUUGAGGAGCGAAGAGAUGUAUGAUAGAAUAGUCACAGGUGAAAUAUUCAAGAUACAAGUUGUUUUCUGCAAUAUAUUCUCCUUUCUUCUGCCAUCUGUGUUGCCUUGGAGAAGUCAACUCUCAGUCUAACUGAGGUUCUUUUGUAAGCAAUAUUGAUUUUUUUUCUCUCAUUGUUUUUGAUACAACAAGAUAUUCUCAUUGACUUUAAUAUAAUAAAGUUUCUCUACAAUUAGUCCUGCUUAGAAUA
rnacentral:lncRNA from 1 species